UACGUAGGGUGCAAGCGUUGUCCGGAAUUAUUGGGCGUAAAGAGCUCGUAGGCGGUCAGUCGCGUCUGCUGUGAAAACCCGGGGCUCAACUUCGGGCUUGCGGUCGAUACGGGCGGGCUAGAGUUCGGUAGGGGAGACUGGAAUUCCUGGUGUAGCGGUGAAAUGCGCAGAUAUCAGGAGGAACACCGGUGGCGAAGGCGGGUCUCUGGGCCGAUACUGACGCUGAGGAGCGAAAGCGUGGGGAGCGAACAGG
rnacentral:rRNA from 1 species